UACGUAGGGUGCAAGCGUUAAUCGGAAUUACUGGGCGUAAAGCGUGCGCAGGCGGUUUUGUAAGUCUGUCGUGAAAGCCCCGGGCUCAACCUGGGAAUGGCGUUUGGGACUGGAAGUCUGGAGUACGGCAGAGGAGACUGGAAUUCCUGGUGUAGCAGUGAAAUGCGUAGAUAUCAGGAGGAACACCGAUGGCGAAGGCAGGUCUCUGGGCUGAUACUGACGCUCAUGCACGAAAGCGUGGGGAGCAAACAGG
rnacentral:rRNA from 1 species